CCUACGGGCGGCAGCAGUGGGGAAUAUUGCACAAUGGGGGAAACCCUGAUGCAGCGACGCCGCGUGAGUGAAGAAGUAUCUCGGUAUGUAAAGCUCUAUCAGCAGGGAAGAAAAUGACGGUACCUGACUAAGAAGUCCCGGCUAAAUACGUGCCAGCCCCCGCGGUAAUACGUAGGGGGCAAGCGUUAGCCGGAUAUAAAGGGUGGAAAGGGGGCGGAGACGGGGCUGCAAAGCCGGAGGGAAAGCCCAUGGCUUAACCCUGGUACUGCUCUGGAAACUGUGGAGCUUGAGUGCGAGAGGGGCAGGCGGAAUUCCAAGUGUAGCGGUGAAAGGCGUAGAUAUUAGGAGGAACACCAGCGGCGAAGGCAGCCUGCUGGACCGUAACUGACGUUGAGGCUCGAAAGCGUGGGGAGCAAACAGGAUUAGAUACCCGUGUAGUC
rnacentral:rRNA from 1 species